rnacentral:rRNA from 1 species
GGGGAAUAUUGCGCAAUGGGGGGAACCCUGACGCAGCCAUGCCGCGUGAAUGAAGAAGGCCUUCGGGUUGUAAAGUUCUUUCGGUAUUGAGGAAGGUUGAUGUGUUAAUAGCACAUCAAAUUGACGUUAAAUACAGAAGAAGCACCGGCUAACUCCGUGCCAGCAGCCGCGGUAAUACGGAGGGUGCGAGCGUUAAUCGGAAUAACUGGGCGUAAAGGGCACGCAGGCGGUUAUUUAAGUGAGGUGUGAAAGCCCUGGGCUUAACCUAGGAAUUGCAUUUCAGACUGGGUAACUAGAGUACUUUAGGGAGGGGUAGAAUUCCACGUGUAGCGGUGAAAUGCGUAGAGAUGUGGAGGAAUACCGAAGGCGAAGGCAGCCCCUUGGGAAUGUACUGACGCUCAUGUGCGAAAGCGUGGGGAGCAAACAGGAUUAGAUACCCUGGUAGUCCACGCUGUAAACGCUGUCGAUUUGGGGGUUGGGGUUUAACUCUGGCGCCCGUAGCUAACGUGAUAAAUCGACCGCCUGGGGAGUACGGCCGCAAGGUUA